AUCUGCCUGGACUAAUGAAGUAAUCACUGCUCUUUGUGAUGUUCAAUGCCGUUCUUCACUCAAAAACCUCAAAGCACAAAGAAUUUUUCAGAGGCAGAAAGCCAUGCACAGUGGAGCUGUUUGUGCAUUGAGGGCAAUCUCCUUUGGCUUUUUUGAGCUCAAGUUCUUCAAGCAAGUAUUAGUGUGAACAGCAGCAGCUUAAAGCACUCCCUAAUCUUGAAGAGACCAUAAGUAACACACUGCUUGAACAAGUCCCUGUAGAUGGAAGCAUCUUUGAGACUAAUUCCAUCAUAUCUUGGGGAUUAGAAGAAAUGGGGAAAAUCUGUGAGAAAUGAGGAGAGCAAAUUAUUGUCUUUCAAUGAAGUAAGCACCAACUCAGAUCUUGUCAUACAUUAUGAAUAAUCUCAUUUUUGCUGGAAUCCUGUACUAUAUUAAAGACAUUAUGGCAGGUAAAAUUACCUAGGGGAGUACUGCUUUCUUAGGUACCUUUGUACCAGAAGAUGGAGCCGGAGAGCCUGGAUUCAGCAUCUCUGCAGGGUCAACGUUCUUUCAGUAGAGCUGACCCGGCUUUUGUUAUCUCCAUGGAUGAGAUCAAAAAAGGAAAAUGGAGGUCACAGCUAUUUCACAGUUUAAUAGCCCUGUAACCAUUAAAACAUAGUAAACCCAAGAAUAAAAACAGAACCCAAGUGAAGUCAAUUUAAAUAGUUAAGGAACAAGGACGUGUUUCAGUGGGAAACAUCCAUAAGGUAAUGCAUAACUUUUUUUUUCCCUAUCACAUACUUAGAGAUGAAUUUUAAAUUCCAGUGUGACAGGUCUCAAAGGUAAAGCUGAACAUGAUAAUUAAUAUAAGAUCAUUCAUACCUGAUUCUCUGCAGGACUUUUAUUGAAUUGUGAAAAGUAAGAGAUAUGAUUC